rnacentral:tRNA from 1 species
GCCCCGUUAGCUCAGUCGGUAGAGCAUUUGACUUUUAAUCAAAGGGUCUGGAGUUCGAAUCUCCAACGGAGCACCA